rnacentral:rRNA from 1 species
CCUUACCAGGGUUUGACAUCCUGCGAAUUUCUGGGAAACCGGAAAGUGCCUUCGGGAACGCAGUGACAGGUGGUGCAUGGCUGUCGUCAGCUCGUGUCGUGAGAUGUUGGGUUAAGUCCCGCAACGAGCGCAACCCACGUCUUUAGUUGCCAGCAUUCAGUUGGGCACUCUAGAGAGACCGCCGGUGAUAAACCGGAGGAAGGUGUGGAUGACGUCAAGUCAUCAUGCCCCUUACAUCCUGGGCUACACACGUGCUACAAUGGCCGGUACAGAGAGCAGCCACCACGCGAGUGGGAGCGAAUCUUCAAAGCCGGUCUCAGUUCGGAUCGCAGUCUGCAACUCGACUGCGUGAAGCUGGAAUCGCUAGUAAUCGCAUAUCAGCCAUGAUGCGGUGAAUACGUUCCCGGGCCUUGCACACACCGCCCGUC